rnacentral:lncRNA from 1 species
GAAUCUUUGCCGUAGGCUCCUCAAACAAGAGAAAUGUUACAUUUACAUCAAAACUUUUACAACAUUUUUAAUAACGCCACCGCUUUGAAAAAUAAAAUAAAAUCCCCAUCUCUCUCCUCCUUCUCCGUUUCUUUCUCCUUCCCGUCCCCAACUCUCUCUAUCUAGGACUCCUCUCUACCCUUUCCACUCUCUCUCCCCUCCGCCAUCCUACGUCCCUGAUUUG